CGGCAGGCUUAACACAUGCAAGUCGAGCGGUAACAGGGGAAGCUUGCUUCCCGCUGACGAGCGGCGGACGGGUGAGUAAUGCUUAGGGAAUCUGCCCAGUAGUGGGGGAUAGCCCGGGGAAACCCGGAUUAAUACCGCAUACGUCCUACGGGAGAAAGCAGGGGAUCUUCGGACCUUGCGCUAUUGGAUGAGCCUAAGUCGGAUUAGCUAGUUGGUGGGGUAAAGGCCUACCAAGGCGACGAUCCGUAGCUGGUCUGAGAGGAUGAUCAGCCACAUCGGGACUGAGACACGGCCCGAACUCCUACGGGAGGCAGCAGUGGGGAAUAUUGGACAAUGGGGGCAACCCUGAUCCAGCCAUGCCGCGUGUGUGAAGAAGGCUUUCGGGUUGUAAAGCACUUUCAGUAGGGAGGAAAACCUUAUGGUUAAUACCCAUGAGGCUUGACGUUACCUACAGAAGAAGCACCGGCUAACUC
rnacentral:rRNA from 1 species